rnacentral:misc_RNA from 1 species
UUGACAGUAUCUGCUGCUCUUUCUUUUCUGCUUCUUUGGCCGGCAAGGGAACUUAGAUUGUUUUGCUUUUGUUGAACUGAAACAGGAGGUAGUCAAAAGUGUAAUAUAAUCUUGAGUGCAUUACAGUUAUUAAUUUUUUUAGCUGAACCAUAUAUUCUGCAGUGAAUGUAAUGUUUGUUGCAUUUAUCUAUAUCCAUUUAGGAAAUGUACUGCAAAAAAAA